rnacentral:rRNA from 1 species
ACCCGCACAAGCGGUGGAUGAUGUGGAUUAAUUCGAUGCAACGCGAAGAACCUUACCUACCCUUGACAUGUCCGGAACUUGCCAGAGAUGGCUUGGUGCCCGAAAGGGAAUCGGAACACAGGUGCUGCAUGGCUGUCGUCAGCUCGUGUCGUGAGAUGUUGGGUUAAGUCCCGCAACGAGCGCAACCCUUAUCAUUAGUUGCUACGCAAGGGCACUCUAAUGAGACCGCCGGUGACAAACCGGAGGAAGGUGGGGAUGACGUCAAGUCCUCAUGGCCCUUAUGGGUAGGGCUUCACACGUCAUACAAUGGUCGGUACAGAGGGUUGCCAAGCCGCGAGGCGGAGCCAAUCCCACAAAGCCGAUCGUAGUCCGGAUUGUUCUCUGCAACUCGAGAGCAUGAAGUCGGAAUCGCUAGUAAUCGCAGGUCAGCAUACUGCGGUGAAUACGUUCCCGGGUCUU